UAGUUAGCUAGUCAGCUAGUCUGCUCGCGGCCUCAGCGAAGUCCACCGAGGAGAAGCCAGGUGAAGUUAAUUAGAACAAAAAAAGUAUUAGUUAAUUAAACACUACGCGGUCACCGUCGUGCUACUGUGAACGGACACGUCUCAAGAAAAGAAACUUUCUGAAAUGAAGUGUGAACCGUGUCAGUGGAUUCUCGACAGAGAGCUGAAUGCUAACGUUUACUUGAAAAGAGCGAGAGUUAGCUAGUUUUCAACUGUUGCGUCAGUUAGCGCGGUUUUUUGUAAGCUAGCUAAAAUAGCUCGGUAGCAGCCGUGAAGAGAAGUGAAGAGGACCUGACAAUGUCAACAUGGACUAUUUCCUUCUUUUAAAGAAAGGAGAAGGAACUUGAACAUCAAAUUACAGACAGUAGAGGGGGACACGGCAGCGGAGAGAGAGAGAGAGAGAGAGAGAGGCGAUGGCGUGCUGUGAAGGAGCCUGGGCCGGAUUCAAACCCGUAGAACACGCUCCACCAGAGCAACGGAUGGAAAUGUCCGUCAAUGGGUUAAUGUGGCCAUUCUGUGGAAAUAUGAGGAGAGGAGAGGACACCGCCACAAGUAUGUAUUCAGACUCUUUGCUGUGGCUCUCUAAACCGAAAAGGUUCAGCGUUCAGCUCGACAACGACCUGAUGCUGCUGGAUGGAGAUGAUGCCGGACGGCCCGCAGGAUGUCUCCACCAAUGAUCCAAAACCCGGACCUGAACCCCAGACGACAUCUGCAGAGAGACCUGAAGGUGUCCAAUGUGACUGAACAUUCACAACAUACAGCUGUAACACUGUAAAAGUCAGAAGUAUUCCUUUGUGUAGUUUCGGUCGAUGUUGUCGUUGCACAGUUCAUAAGAGUGAUGUGAUUCAAUGCUCUGCCAGGCCUGUGCUGCGCCAUCUGGGCUUUUCGUGAAGUUAAACACAUGUUCAUCUUGGCUGAGGUCAGGUGACUGACGUUGGCAGUUAAAAAUAUUCCACUUUGGUUAUCCUGUCCUGUGUGGUUGGGAACACUGCCCUGCCGUCCUGUCCUAAAACCGAAAAGGAUGUGAACACCCUAAACCGCCCAGAAAUCUGAGUCAGUACUUCGUUUGAAAAAGUGUCUGCAGCCAACAAUUUCUUUUGCUUGUCUUCUCAGUGGUGAAACUCCUGCAGGACCACUGACUAAUCUGGGACUUCCCUCCCUCUCUCUCUCUCUCCUUCUGCAGUCAGUGUCUGGUGUCCUCUGGGAGACUCUCUUGUCUCUCUCUCCCUCUGUUUGAACAGUGUAGAGUUUUAACGCCUCGUGCUCUCUCCAGGUCUGCGUGCACACUCUGCAAACUGAUUUUUCCAUAUUCUAAAUGUGCAGUUGUUUUUUCUGUCUAUUCUGUGAACACGACAUCAGUUGUGUGUCUGUCUGUGCUGGAUGAGGGAUUCCUCCUCUGUUGCACUUCCUGUAGGUUUCUUCCUGUUCAUGGUCCAUGCACAGAGGGCGUUGUAUGCUGCACAGAUUGUGAAGCAACUUUAUUUGUGAUUUUUGGGCUAAAUAAAUAAAAGUGACUUGACUUGUUC